AUAUCAAUAAGCGGAGGAAAAGAAACCAACAGGGAUUACCUCAGUAACUGCGAGUGAAGCGGUAACAGCUCAAAUUUGAAAUCUGGCUCUUUCAGGGUCCGAGUUGUAAUUUGUAGAAGAUGCUUUGGGUGUGGUCCGGGUCUAAGUUCCUUGGAACAGGACGUCAUAGAGGGUGUGAAUCCCGUACGUGACUGGGUGCUUUCGCUCGUGUAAAGCUCUUUCGACGAGUCGAGUUGUUUGGGAAUGCAGCUCUAAAUGGGAGGUAAAUUUCUUCUAAGGCUAAAUAACGGCAAGAGACCGAUAGCGCACAAGUA
rnacentral:rRNA from 1 species